AACGAACGCUGGCGGCAUGCCUAACACAUGCAAGUCGAACGAGACCUUCGGGUCUAGUGGCGCACGGGUGCGUCACGCGUGGGAACCUGCCCUUAGGUUCGGAAUAACUCCCCGAAAGGGGUGCUAAUACCGGAUAAUGUCUUCGGACCAAGGAUUUAUCGCCUUUGGAUGGGCCCGCGUUGGAUUAGCUAGUUGGUAGGGUAAAAGCCUACCAAGGCGACGAUCCAUAGCUGGUCUGAGAGGAUGAUCAGCCACACUGGGACUGAGACACGGCCCAGACUCCUACGGGAGGCAGCAGUGGGGAAUAUUGGACAAUGGGCGAAAGCCUGAUCCAGCAAUGCCGCGUGAGUGAUGAAGGCAUUAGGGUUGUAAAGCUCUUUUACCCGGGAUGAUAAUGACAGUACCGGGAGAAUAAGCUCCGGCUAACUCCGUG
rnacentral:rRNA from 1 species